UUUGAUUUUGAUUUUGAGCUUCAGUUUUAGAUCUGAUCUGAAUUCUCAUCUCACUGCCUUUUGUACCAUUCAAUCAUCUCAUUCAUUGUUCUAAGGUUUUCAUCCCCUGCGGACACAUAUGCGUGUGCUCUCCUUCACCCACCAAUUGCUAUUUCACACGUGUAUAAUCAAAAUACGUGGAGACCACUAGCUGAUUUAUUAGGGUUAGUGUCAGAGAUAUUAUUACAUACUGAACUCAUUAAAAUUUGUGAUUCAUUGCUCGACGUUAAUCUAUAGUUUGCAUAGGCUAAAUAUUUUGUGCUCGGG